AAGACCAGUUAAAAAGUUGCUUAGAACUGGCCAGUUAAUAACAUAAUAAAAAUUAACUUAAAGGUAAACCACCCCGUUUAACUACAGUGAAUGCUUAAUAAUUCUAGUUUUAUAGUUUUUCCUUAUAGUUUUUAGGCCAUCAAUGGUGUAUAAGUGUGCUUCCUCAAACUAUUUUUUUCCUACAGCAAACAAAUAUAGCCAUGCUAUUUGCAAUUUGAUGACUCGUGUUAGAAUCAGCUAAUCAGCCGGUGAAAUCUGUCGGUGACUCACAGCAUGAGUGUGUUGGUUGCAGCCAGGAAAUCCAUGUUAGGUUGAGAAACAAACAACUAGUAUAAACAACUGUAAGAAACAAAAUAAUAAAAAUUAUUUGUAAAACGGGUUGCAACAGUAACCCAUUAAAGUUGUAAGGUUGGAGAGAGUAUAUAAGUCCUAACCUGUAAAAACAAAUAAACUGCAUUGUACAAAAUGAAUUAUUAUACUAAUUUUUGAGGACUAAUAAAGAACAAACCAGCAAAG